rnacentral:rRNA from 1 species
CUGGCUCAGGAUGAACGCUAGCGACAGGCCUAACACAUGCAAGUCGAGGGGCAGCACAAGGAGCAAUCUGAGGUGGCGACCGGCGCACGGGUGAGUAACACGUAUGCAACCUGCCUGUAAGCGGGGAAUAACCCGUUGAAAGACGGACUAAUACCGCAUAAUACUAAAUUACUGCAUGGUAAUUUAUUUAAACAUUUAUGGCUUACAGAUGGGCAUGCGCAUGAUUAGCUAGUUGGAGAGGUAACGGCUCCCCAAGGCAACGAUCAUUAGGGGUUCUGAGAGGAAGGUCCCCCACACUGGUACUGAGACACGGACCAGACUCCUACGGGAGGCAGCAGUGAGGAAUAUUGGUCAAUGGGCGGGAGCCUGAACCAGCCAAGUCGCGUGAAGGAAAAGAAGGAUCUAUGGUUCGUAAACUUCUUUUGCAGGGGAAUAAAGUGCAGGACGUGUCCUGUUUUGUAUGUACCCUGAGAAUAAGGAUCGGCUAACUCCGUGCCAGCAGCUGC